UUGCUGUAAAAACUACAGCGUUAUUUUACAGAAGCUGACUGUAUUUUAAAUAAUACAGAAUAUUGCUGUAAAGUGCAAUGCAUUCUGGGGUCACGUGACGGAUUAACUCAAUGUACAGAAUAUUGCUGUAAAUUUCAAAUCUACAAUGGCGGGAUGAUCUUCAACAGUCGAGAUUGGGGUAGUGCGCAAAAUGAAUGAUUCACACCUGUGAACACACUUGCAGGCCACUGGAUGCUGACUACUGAAGGUUAGGUUGUGUGUGACGGUGCUCAGCACAGCUUCAUGUCUGGCCUUCCCACUCUGUUCAUAACAUGUUACAUAUUCAGGCUUGAGUACCAGGAUGGGGCAGCAUGUACUUGGAGUCCAAUGAAAGAUAUUAAUCCAGAGAGUGGAACAAGCAGCGUCAUCUAAAAUGCCAGGAUACAGAAGAAACAGGUUGCAGUGAACCCACAUGUCGCCGCUCUUCUAAACACAAUGAUGAAUAUUCAGUGUAAUCGAUGAAAAUUCCAGCUACUUGUUGUGCUCUGAUGGAUCAAGAUGUGGACCGUUUUACAGACUCACUUGGGCCUUGUUUUGCAAUGUUGUUUCAUGAUGGUAAUGUUGGUUAACGUGUUGUUUAAACAUGAGUGUUUAAAGAGCCAUGUUGGAUACUAUGAAGUUCUUACUGAAUAAAAUUAUUUCAUGUACAACAACGUACACAAUUUGUCUGUAAUGUAUUUUUGUAUCAAUUAAAAAAAAAUAAACACUGUAUAUCCAGUAUGCAAAACAUACUGGAUAUACAGUGAUUUAUGUAUUUCUUCUAAAUAAAGUAAAUUAAAAUCAAGCAAUUUGCUGUAAAAAAUACAGCAUUAUACUGUUGCUAUUCAAAAUUACAGUUUUUCCUGUAUUCUGCAAUUACAGUAAAUGGCUGUAAAUUAAAUUACAGUACUGUGGCUGUACAAUUUACAGUAACUGGCUGGCAACCCUGCUGCCAGUAGUUUACUGUAAAUUUUACAGGAUU